rnacentral:rRNA from 1 species
UACGAAGGGGGCUAGCGUUGCUCGGAAUCACUGGGCGUAAAGGGUGCGUAGGCGGCCGCGCAAGUCUGGCGUGAAAGCCCCGGGCUCAGCCCGGGAAGGGCGCUCGAAACGGCGCGGCUCGAGUGCCGGAGGGGAGAGUGGAAUUCCUGGUGUAGCGGUGAAAUGCGUAGAUAUCAGGAGGAAUACCGGUGGCGAAAGCGACUUCCUGGACCAAUACUGACGCUCAUGUGCGAAAGCGUGGGGAGCAAACAGG